rnacentral:rRNA from 1 species
GAACGCUGGCGGCGUGCCUAACACAUGCAAGUCGAGCGAUCUUCUUCGGAAGGGAGCGGCGGACGGGUGAGUAACGCGUGGGUAACCUGCCCUGUACACACGGAUAACAUACCGAAAGGUAUGCUAAUACGGGAUAACAUAAGAAAGUCGCAUGGCUUUCUUAUCAAAGCUUUUGCGGUACAGGAUGGACCCGCGUCUGAUUAGCUAGUUGGUAAGGUAACGGCUUACCAAGGCGACGAUCAGUAGCCGACCUGAGAGGGUGAUCGGCCACAUUGGAACUGAGACACGGUCCAAACUCCUACGGGAGGCAGCAGUGGGGAAUAUUGCACAAUGGGCGAAAGCCUGAUGCAGCAACGCCGCGUGAGCGAUGAAGGCCUUCGGGUCGUAAAGCUCUGUCCUCAAGGAAGAUAAUGACGGUACUUGAGGAGGAAGCCCCGGCUAACUACGUGCCAGCAGCCGCGGUAAUACGUAGGGGGCUAGCGUUAUCCGGAAUUACUGGGCGUAAAGGGUGCGUAGGCGGUCUUUCAAGUCAGAAGCGAAAGGCUACGGCUCAACCGUAGUAAGCUUUUGAAACUGUAAGACUUGAGUGCAGGAGAGGAGAGUGGAAUUCCUAGUGUAGCGGUGAAAUGCGUAGAUAUUAGGAGGAACACCAGUUGCGAAGGCGGCUCUCUGGACUGUAACUGACGCUGAGGCACGAAAGCGUGGGGAGCAAACAGG